rnacentral:rRNA from 1 species
AUGGAGAAAGUUUCUGCUUCCGAUGAUUCCCCUUAUUCGAGCACAGAUUGCGAUUGGUCCCAGCUUCAGGCUGAUGUGCUCCUCCAGAUCUUUGGCACUCUGGAUAUCCCGGAUCUCUUCAGCUCUGGUGCGGUGUGUCGAUCCUGGCACCUCAUUUAUCUGGAGGCCCGUGGUCUCCGUCUGUGCUCGCCGAACCAGAGCCCCUGCCUUGUUUACUCAUCUGGUGACCGUGACGCUAACACGGCCACCCUGCAUAACAUGUCCACUAACAAGCUUUACCACGUCACUCUAUCAGAGCCUGCCUUCCGCACACGCCACAUCAUGGGCUCCUCCUAUGGCUGGCUCAUCACCGCGGAUGAGCGGUCGAAUCUCAUACUAGUCAACCCUGCAACCCGAGCUCAGAUAGCUAUGCCUCCACCUGAAACCAUGAACAAUGUUAGACUGCGUUACACUGAAGAGGGCGUGCUAGAUGGAUAUGAUGUUCUUUUCAUGGAUCUGUUCUCUUCGGAUUUUGACACUGAAACGGAGCCAUACCAUCUUACACUUGAAGAAGCCCGCUUCUUCUUUUCUGAGAGGGUCGUUCUUUCUUGCGACCCCUCCCAAGGAAACUGCACAGUGCUAUGA